CGCCUGUUUAUCAAAAACAUAGCCUUUAGCUAAACAAAUAUUGAAGGUAAUGCCUGCCCAGUGAAAUCACUUUUAACGGCCGCGGUACCCUAACCGUGCAAAGGUAGCGUAAUCAUUUGUCCACUAAUUAUGGACCCGUAUGAAAGGCCACAUGAGAAUCUAACUGUCUCUUGUAACCAAUUUAUAAAACUGAUCUUCCAGUCCAAAAGCUGGAAUUAUACUAUAAGACGAGAAGACCCUGUGAAGCUUAAAAAACCCCAUUAAACUAAUUUAAUGGGUAUUUUUAGUUGGGGCAACUUUGGAAAACAACAUAACUUCCAAAAAGGAAACACUCCUUACCAAGACCAACAAGUCAAUAAAGACCCAGUAUAACUGACAAAUGAACCAAGUUACUCCAGGGAUAACAGCGCAAUCUUCUUCAAGAGCCCAUAUCAAAAAGAAGGUUUACGACCUCGAUGUUGGAUCAGGACACCCAAAUGGUGCAGCCGCUAUUAAAGGUUCGUUUGUUCAACGAUUAACAGUCCUACGUGAUCUGAGUUCAGACCGG
rnacentral:rRNA from 1 species